rnacentral:rRNA from 1 species
GCGGCUACUGCUAUCAGGUUUCGACUAAGCCAUGCGAGUCAAGGGGUCGUAAGACACCGGCGUACUGCUCAGUAACACGCGGACAAUCUACCCCCAGGUGGAGGAUAACCUCGGGAAACUGAGGCUAAUACCCCAUAGUUGUCAUGUGCUGGAAUGCUUUGACGACGAAAGAAUUUCGCCUGAGGAUGAGUCUGCGGCCUAUCAGGUAGUAUGUGGUGUAAAGGACCACAUAGCCUAAGACGGGUACGGGCCUUGAAAGAGGGAGCCCGGAGAUGGACUCUGAGACACUAGCCCAGGCCCUACGGGGCGCAGCAGGCGCGAAAACUGUGCAAUGCGCGCAAGCGCGACACGGGAAGCCUGAGUGCCUUAACUAUGUUAAGGCUUUUCUUGAUCCUAAAAAGCUCAAGGAAUAAGAGCUGGGUAAGACGGGUGCCAGCCGCCGCGGUAACACCCGCGGCUCGAGUGGUAGUCACUUUUAUUGAGCCUAAAGCGUUUGUAGCCGGAUUUGUAAAUCUCUAGGAAAAUACUUCUGCUUAACUGAAGAAAUUUUGGAGAGACUGCAAAUCUAGGGACCGGGUGAGGUUGAAUGUACUUCUGGGGUAGGGGUAAAAUCCUGUAAUCCUGGAAGGACGACCGGUGGCGAAGGCGUUCAACUAGAACGGAUCCGACGGUGAGGAACGAAGGCUAGGGGAGCAAACCGGAUUAGAUACCCGGGUAGUCCUAGCUGUAAACACUGCCCACUUGGUGUUGCAUCUCCGGUAAGGGGGUGCAGUGCCGUAGCGAAGGUGUUAAGUGGGCCGCUUGGGGAGUAUGGUCGCAAGGCUGAAACUUAA